rnacentral:rRNA from 1 species
GAUGAACGCUGGCGGCGUGCCUAAUACAUGCAAGUCGAACGAAGCGGGGACGGGUGAGUAACACGUGGAUAACCUCCUAUACGACUGGGAUAACUUCGGGAAAACGGAGCUAAAACGGAUACUUAUAGAUGUAUACGCGCUGCAUUAGCUAGUGGGGAAGUUAAAGGAUUACCAAGGCAACGAUGAAUAUCAGACCUGCGAGGUCGAGCGGCCACACUGUAACUGAGACACGGUCCAGACUCCUACGGGAGGCAGCAGUAGGGAAUCUUCCGCAAUGGGCGAAAGCCUGACGGAGCAACGCCGCGUGAGUGAUGAAGGUCUUCGGAUCGUAAACCUCUGUUAUUAGGGAAGCGGUAUCUAAUCAGAAAGCCACGGCUAACUACGUGCCAGCAGCCGCGGUAAUAC